GCUGUAGCUCAGUGGUAGAGCGUCUGCUUUGCAUGCAGAAGCUCCCAUUCCAAUCUGAAACCCUGGAGAGGGCAGCU